AUGCUUUCCAGGAAAGGGCCUGGCAUGCCAGUUUGCCCUGCUCGAUUCCCUGUGGUGCAGAGGGAACCAGCUGAACCUGUUCUUCCUGUGAUUCCUGGAAACAAAAUGGGCUGUUCUGAGAGGAUCUGCGAGCACUUGGAGCCCAGUGGCUUGCCCUUGUUCAGAAUGGACACCAAGGUGCAUGUAUAUGCAUGUAUGGGAAGGGAGCCAGCUGCACUAGGGCCUCUUGAGAUGCCUGGAAGUCAAAAUGUUGAAAGAGAGAAUCAAAUAUACAGGAAGAAGAAAAUCUUCUUGAAGACCUGUAUGCAUGGAUUUUUUGUUGGAUUACACUUCUAUAACCAUUGGAGCUAG
rnacentral:lncRNA from 1 species